rnacentral:tRNA from 1 species
CGGCUGUCGGCGCGCGGCACGCGGCUCGUCGAAGGGGCCGGUGUGUCGAAGCGCCAGGGCGGCGCGUUCAUGCCGGGCGUGCCCGA